UUACAGCCAUAUCACGUUGAAACACAGAUUGCCGUACGAUCACCGAAGUUAAGUGAUGUCGAGCCUGUUUAGUAACUAGAUGGGUGACCGUUUGGGAAUACCAGGUGCUGUAA